GGUCAGCUGACACAUCCCGGCCAAUCUCCAGCAGACCCUCCCUCCCAGACCCUCCUACUUCCUGGACAGCAUCCAUGUUGAAGGCAGCUUCAACAUGGAUGCUGUCCAGGAGGUGGGAGGGUCUGGGAGGGAGGGUCUGCCGGAGAUUGGCAGGGAUGUGUUAGCUG